rfam:Dipodomys ordii contig_6784, whole genome shotgun sequence.
GGUGGCUCAGUGCUAGAGUGCUUGCUUUGCAUGCAUGAGGCCCUGGGUUCGAUUCCUCAGUACCA